UACGUAGGGUGCAAGCGUUGUCCGGAAUUAUUGGGCAUAAAGAGCUCGUAGGCGGUCUGUUGCGUCGGCUGUGAAAACCCGGGGCUCAACCCCGGGCCUGCAGCCGAUACGGGCAGACUAGAGUUCGGCAGGGGAGACUGGAAUUCCUGGUGUAGCGGUGAAAUGCGCAGAUAUCAGGAGGAACACCGGUGGCGAAGGCGGCCCGCUGGGCAGUGACUGACGCUGAGGCGCGACAGCGUGGGGAGCAAACAGG
rnacentral:rRNA from 1 species